rnacentral:rRNA from 1 species
UAUCUCUGUAGAGUCUGCAUAUCAAUAAGCGGAGGAAAAGAAACUAACAAGGAUUCCCUUAGUAACGGCGAGUGAAGCGGGAAGAGCUCAAAUUUGAAAUCUUCAAGGUUCUACCUUGACGAAUUGUAGUUUAAAGAAGUGUUUUCUGUUGGAGUUUUGGUAAAAGUUCUUUGGAAUAGGACAUCAUAGAGGGUGAGGAAUCCCGUAUUUGAUCAUUCUCUUCCUAGCGUUGUGAUACACUUUCAACGAGUCGGAUUGUUUGGGAAUGCAGUCCAAAAUGGGUGGUAAAUUUCAUCUAAAGCUAAAUAUUGGCGAGAGACCGAUAGCGAACAAGUACCGUGAGGGAAAGAUGAAAAGAACUUUGAAAAGAGAGUUAAACAGUACGUGAAAUUGUCAAAAGGGAAGCGUUUGACACCAGUGCUGUUUUCUCGAAAAUCAAUUAAAAAUGGCCGGAUUUUGUGUUGUAUUGACUUUAUCAGCUUUCUGCACUUUUUUCUUGUCUUUUUUAAUGCACUUUUCGUUUAACAAGUCAACAUCAAUUUCUUUUGUUGUAAAAGAGUCAUUGGAAGGUGGCUUUCACUUCGGUGAAAGUGUUUAUAGCCUUUGACUUCUGCAAUCGGAGAGAUUGAGGUCUGCAGCGUAGAUCCUUCGGGGUUAGAUACAUUUGUGCUAAGUUAUAGUUUUUCAUAGACAACAUGUUGACUAUGAUUAAUCAUGUAGCUUACUCGCUUAUGCUAUUUUACCUACGCUUAGGAUGUUGACGCAUGAGAUAUACGC